UUUAAAAUCGGUUCUUAAAUAACCGAUUUUAAAAGUAAUACUUUUAAAAGUACUUUUAAGAUCGGUUAUUUAAGAAUCGAUCUUAAA
rnacentral:miRNA from 1 species